rfam:Triticum urartu cultivar G1812 contig824333, whole genome shotgun sequence.
GAGAUACUCCCUUCGUUCCAAAUUACUCGUCGUGGAAAUUGGAUGUAUCUGGAACUAAAAUACAUCUAGAUACAUCCAUCUCUGCGACAAGUAAUUUGGAAUGGAGGGAGUACUUU